rnacentral:rRNA from 1 species
UGGGUAAUUUUGGACAAUGCGCGAAAGCCUGAUCCAGCCAUGCCGCGUGAGUGAAGAAGGCCUUCGGGUUGUAAAGCUCUUUCGGUGGGGAAGAAAUGGUUUGUGCUAAUACCGCAAACUGAUGACGGUACCCGAAGAAGAAGCACCGGCUAACUACGUGCCAGCAGCCGCGGUAAUACGUAGGGUGCAGGCGUUAAUCGGAAUUACUGGGCGUAAAGGGUGCGCAGGCGGUUUACUAAGACAGGUGUGAAAUCCCCGGGCUUUACCUGGGAACUGCGCUUGUUACUGGUAGGCUAGAGUGUGGCAGAGGGGGGUAGAAUUCCAGGUGUAGCAGUGAAAUGCGUAGAUAUCUGGAGGAAUACCGAUGGCGAAGGCAGCCCCCUGGGUUAACACUGACGCUCAUGCACGAAAGCGUGGGGAGCAAACAGGAUUAGAUACCCUGGUAGUCCACGCCCUAAACUAUGUCAACUGGUUGUCGGGGAAGCAAUUCCUUGGUAACGAAGCUAACGCGUGAAGUUGACCGCCUGGGGAGUACGGCCGCAAGGUUA